GCUUCGUACAAUUUUUUUUUUUUUUACGUUGUCUUUUCCAUGGCAAAAAAAAAAAAAAAUUGUUUUGCCCAUCUGACUUGUCAAUUUUUUUUAAAAAAAUUAAGAAUUGUAGUUUGAACGCUCUUUACAUAAAAAGCUGGCCUCCCCAUUCUUCAUCCCUCUGUCUCUUGGUCUCGUCUUCAUUGUCGGCGUUCUCUAUCAGGCUGCAUCAAGCUUCUCGGGCGUGGGUUGUCCAUCUGUAUCUCGCCGUUCACCAAUGUUCGGUGUGCAUUCUUGAUCUCGCCGUUCUCCAAGCUUUAUCACGCUCAGAUUCUCGAUCUCGGCAUCACCCAGAGCUUCGUGUUGGCCAUUCUCGCUUAUGAUUCUCCAAUCCAGUGUUUCUCCAAGCUUCUUGCUAGCAUCUUGUGGGUAUAUGUAUUUGCAACUCAAACGAUUUCCAAAAAGCUUGAUGAAACCCUAAAACGUCUUUGGGGAAUAUUGCUUGAGAGAUGGUGGAGAAGGACAUCUUCUGUUAAUACCAGUGUUCCAGACGUGACAUCUUCAUUCUUCUUUCAGCAAAUUUUUUUUUUCAACUCUGAGAGAUGAGAGCAAGCUUGUGCUUGCAGUCCCCAAAGCACAACGCAGAGGCAAGAGGGGGGAGGGUUUCACUUUUUUAUUUUGGCCCUUUUUGGUUGUCUUGCUUUUUAUUUUUGAUUUGUGUUUGGAUGUGGGGUUCAGCGGAUAGACCUCCACAUAAUAUAUUGCAAGUACGUCUUUGAUUUUUUAAGAGUAGACAAUUGCUAGUAUCCUACUGAGGAGGACAAGUUGAGGUUAAUAUCUCUUUUAUUCCUUUCAUGUAUCAUUUUAGUUACUUCUGUAUUUCCAUAGGUGAAGCAUAACAUCUUACCUUCUGAAGAAGUUGUUGAGAUAGAUCAUAAAUAAAGUGUCAGCCUCUUCAUUGCCUUCGCUUCACAUUAUAGGCUGCAAGGAUGAGCAUUUGAGCAUUUAUUGUUUUAUAAUUUAUGGUUUGCCGUUUAAUAUGUAGUGAAAGUGCUUUAAAUAUACCCUUUUGGUUCCACCCAUUUUGCAGUAUCUCAUCUUCCAUUCCAUUGAAAGUGUUUCUGUUUCUCUUUAGUCUUCCUCUUCUCAUAUUAAUGGGAGCUUUCUUCUCCAUUUGAACGAUGGAUCAUCAUCUCUCCAGACUUGAUGAUCUUGCACCUCCGCUGGAGACCUGGAAGGUUUUGGUCAAGGCAGACAAGGGUGCGAGGAUGCUGUUAAGGGUUUUUGAUGAUCAAAUGAUCGAUCGCUUCUCCAACAUGCUGAAGGAGAAGGAGGACAUAUAUGAUCCAGUUUUUCAGAGUGGCAAUGGGGGUGAAGCUAUCCAUGACCAUUUCCAUAUCAAAGCUUAUGAGGGAUUAUAUAUUAUGCAGAAUUCAUCUGUAUUGCAAUCGGCCAUAACUAUUUCUUAUUUGAUUUUUAAAUUUUUUAAAAAUAAAAUAAAAUAAAAAUCUAUUUGACUGUUAAAACUUAAAAAACGGUUGAUGGUUGUGGCCGAUUGCAAUAACCCUUACUUUAACACAAUUUUC